rnacentral:rRNA from 1 species
GACGAACGCUGCCGGCGUGCUUAACACAUGCAAGUCGAGCGGAAAGGCCACUUCGGUGGUACUCGAGCGGCGAACGGGUGAGUAACACGUGAGUAAUCUGCCCCUGGCUUUGGGAUAGCCACCGGAAACGGUGAUUAAUACCGGAUACGACCACUUCUCGCAUGGGAUGGUGGUGGAAAGUUUUUUCGGCCAGGGAUGUGCUCGCGGCCUAUCAGCUUGAUGGUGAGGUAAUGGCUCACCAUGGCUUCGACGGGUAGCCGGCCUGAGAGGGUGACCGGUCACACUGGGACUGAGACACGGCCCAGACUCCUACGGGAGGCAGCAGUGGGGAAUAUUGGACAAUGGACGGAAGCCUGAUCCAGCAACGCCGCGUGAGGGAUGACGGCCUUCGGGUUGUAAACCUCUUUCAGCAGGGACGAAGCGCAAGUGACGGUACCUGCAGAAGAAGCACCGGCCAACUACGUGCCAGCAGCCGCCGUAA